rnacentral:rRNA from 1 species
UACGUAGGGCGCAAGCGUUGUCCGGAAUUAUUGGGCGUAAAGAGCUCGUAGGCGGCUUGUCACGUCGGGUGUGAAAGCCCGGGGCUUAACCCCGGGUCUGCAUUCGAUACGGGCUGGCUAGAGUGUGGUAGGGGAGAUCGGAAUUCCUGGUGUAGCGGUGAAAUGCGCAGAUAUCAGGAGGAACACCAAUGGCGAAGGCAGAUCUCUGGGCCGUAACUGACGCUGAGGAGCGAAAGCAUGGGGAGCGAACAGG